rnacentral:lncRNA from 1 species
UGGGGUCAAUUUUAUAUGUUAAAAUAGCUCUUAUUCUAUUAUUUUUUUCUAAAAGCCUACCUCUAAAAUAUGCAAACUUAUCUAUUCUAUACUAUUAUAUCAAUAUAACAGGCACACAUAGACAAAAUAUGAAUUUGGCUUAUGUUUAGCCUUUUCUUUUGCCGGUUGAAUUUCAGGGGAAAUAAAUCUAAUUUACUAACCGAUCGUUGCAACGGUGUGUUGAAAGCAUAAUCGAGUACACACAAUAUCUUUCGUUAUGAAUAUGUAACAUAUCUACAUGAAAGUUAUACCAGUUUGUAGAUAAAAAUCAUUCAAAUACUUUAAAUAUGGAUUCAUAAAACAUUCAUUGACAUUAAGGGCAUAUUUGAAUUAAUUUCAAAAGUUCAAUGACGGCUCUCAGUUCGUACUACGGUUGAUACGGUAGCAAAUCGGGAAACCUCUGAUGAGAGAAAAACAACAAUUUAAAGUCAAGGUAAAUCCAAAUUCACUUACACUAUCGAGACCGUAUCCUGAUGAUACGUUUUAUCCUCAGUUGUUGGUUUUAUGUUUUGCGCAGCAGCACUUGGUUGAUACCUUUGAUUGGUGACUAUCAGUCCCUGACGGUAUCAUCAGAUCAGAAGUCAGUAACUAGGUAAUGAGGGGGGCAAUAGCGCGUCCGUUAACAUGUUAACUGCCUCGAUUUUGGCAAAAUCAGUUAACAACAAAUGCAAAAAUGCUGAUAACAGUAACUUAACCAAGUGGGUUGAAAACAGUUAACAGCUUAUCUCUCUCAGAUAACAGUUAACAACACCUUGAAAAGGGUCAAAACAGGUUAACAUAAAAAGGUAUUGCCCCCUCGGUAAUGACAUGAUUCAUAACAAACCGUUCUAAAAAUGUCCGUUUAUAAAUCUAUAAACUAUAACGAUGGUUUCAACUCAUUCAGUGAGUUUUGACCUAAGAAAGAUGUGCCUAAUUUGUUUUUUUUUUUUUUUUUUUGUCAUAUAGCUUUUCGACUGUUUCGGUUCUUACACAUCCUUGGCUUUCAAAUAUUCGGCCUUGGUCAUUUCUGAUGACGGUAAAUCCAAAUAAGGGAUUCGGACGCACGCAUUUUAAAAAGUGUGGUUCUUUUUUUUUCUUCUUGUUACGGACAUUUUCAAGGGAAAGUCACAGGAAGUAGUGUAAAUGUUAUUAAACACAUCUUAAACGCGUUCUCUGAAAAUGGCUCUCAAUAAUGACGAC